CACGUCCUUUUGAUUUUAAUUUAAGGUCUGAUCUGCUCAAUGAUUAAUUAAAUUGCCGCAGUAUUUUGACUGUGCAAAGGUAGCAUAAUAAUUAGUUUCUUGAUUAGAAGCUGGAAUGAAUGAUUGGACGAGAAAAUGACUGUCUCUUAUAAAUUUUUUAUUGAAAUUUAUUUUUAAGUUAAAAAGCUUAAAUUUUUAUAAAAGACGAGAAGACCCUAUAGAGUUUAAUAUUUUUAUAUUUUUAAUUUUUAGAAAGUUUUUUGGUAUAAAAAUAUUUAGUUGGGGUGACUUAAAGAUUAAAAUAAUUCUUUAAAUAUUAUAUUGUUGAUAAAUAAUUUGUAAAUCUAGUUUUUUAAAUUUAAAAUUAAUUACCUUAGGGAUAACAGCGUAAUUUUUCUUUAAAGUUCUUAUUGAAAGAAGAUUUUGCGACCUCGAUGUUGGAUUAAAAUUAAUUUUUGGUGAAGUAGCUAAAAAAUUAGGUCUGUUCGACCUUUAAAAUUUUACAUGAUCUGAGUUUAAACCGGUGUAAGCCAGGUUGGAUUCUAUCUUUAGAAAGAUAAUAUAUUUUAGUACGAAAGGACCAAAUAUAUAUUAAAAUUAAUUG
rnacentral:rRNA from 1 species